rnacentral:rRNA from 1 species
GAUGAACGCUGGCGGCGUGCCUAAUACAUGCAAGUCGAGCGAACAGACGAGGAGCUUGCUCCUCUGACGUUAGCGGCGGACGGGUGAGUAACACGUGGAUAACCUACCUAUAAGACUGGGAUAACUUCGGGAAACCGGAGCUAAUACCGGAUAAUAUAUUGAACCGCAUGGUUCAAUAGUGAAAGACGGUUUUGCUUUAACUUAUAGAUGGAUCCGCGCCGCAUUAGCUAGUUGGUAAGGUAAGGGCUUACCAAGGCAACGAUGCGUAGCCGACCUGAGAGGGUGAUCGGCCACACUGGAACUGAGACACGGUCCAGACUCCUACGGGAGGCAGCAGUAGGGAAUCUUCCGCAAUGGGCGAAAGCUUGCCGGAGCAACGCCGCGUGAGUGAUGAAGGUCUUCGGAUCGUAAAACUUUGUUAUUAGGGAAGAACAAAUGUAUAAGUAACUAUGCACGUCUUGACGGUACCUAAUCAGAAAGCCACGGCUAACUACGUG